CCUACGGGAGGCAGCAGUGGGGAAUAUUGGACAAUGGGGGGAACCCUGAUCCAGCCAUGCCGCGUGUGUGAAGAAGGCCCUCGGGUUGUAAAGCACUGUCAGUGAGGAAGAACGCCUGGUGGUUAAUACCCAUCAGGAAAGACAUCACUCACAGAAAAAGCACCGGCUAACUCCGUGCCAGCAGCCGCGGUAAUACGGAGGGUGCGAGCGUUAAUCGGAAUUACUGGGCGUAAAGCGCGCGUAGGUGGCUUGAUAAGCCGGUUGUGAAAGCCCCGGGCUCAACCGGGGAACGGCAUCCGGAACUGUCAAGCUAGAGUGCAGGAGAGGAAGGUAGAAUUCCAGGUGUAGCGGUGAAAUGCGUAGAGAUAGGGAGGAAUACCAGUGGCGAAGGCGGCUUUCUGGUCUGACACUGACACUGAGGUGCGAAAGCGUGGGUAGCAAACAGGAUUAGAUACCCUUGUAGUC
rnacentral:rRNA from 1 species